UGGGGAAUAUUGCACAAUGGGGGGAACCCUGAUGCAGCAACGCCGCGUGAAGGAAGAAGGUUUUCGGAUCGUAAACUUCUUUGACCGGGGACGAUAAUGACGGUACCCGGGGAACAAGCCACGGCUAACUACGUGCCAGCAGCCGCGGUAAUACGUAGGUGGCGAGCGUUGUCCGGAAUUACUGGGUGUAAAGGGCGCGCAGGCGGGGGGACAAGUCAGAUGUGAAAACCCGGGGCUCAACUCCGGGAAUGCAUCUGAAACUGUUUUUCUUGAGUGCCGGAGAGGGAAGCGGAAUUCCUGGUGUAGCGGUGAAAUGCGUAGAUAUCAGGAGGAACACCAGUGGCGAAGGCGGCUUUCUGGACGGUAACUGACGCUGAGGCGCGAAAGCGUGGGGAGCAAA
rnacentral:rRNA from 1 species